AGAAAGCAUUUAUUUUUCUAUUUCAUUUUUAAUUAAUAGCUUUUGAAACACGAUUUUUUUUUCUUCAUUCAAAUUGGCUGUGGAUUAUUUUUUCUUAUUUGAUUUCUAUAUUAUUUUGUAUUCUUUUUUUCCAAAUUAAAAGAAAAAAACUUCCAAAUGAUAAAUAAAAAAGGAAAGAAAGAUUCUCAAUUUAUAUGAAAAAUAAAGAAAAAAAAACUUCCAAAUGAUAAAUAAAAAAGGAAAAAUAGAUUCUCAAUUUAUAUGAAAAAUUCGAAAUU
rnacentral:lncRNA from 1 species